UUCAGUGUAUUUGGCUAAUGUUAUGCUGUUAUUUUACUAGACUGUAAUUCUAUGGGUCAAGCGCCACCUUUUCCUAAUAUAUGGAUCCAUAUUGCACCCCGAUCAUCACAUCUGUUUAACUCCUGGGCUUCUGAAUGACUGCACUUACUGAACCUCUCAUUUAUUAUACUGCAAGCUGGAAAGCACUUACACGCCUGUCGCUGUUCCUGCUGCUGACUUAAUUCCUGACGGUCCUGAAGAGCUUCAUUUGAGAAUACAAUGUAUCUUCCUCUUCAUUUUCCUCAAAUAUCAGGGUAGUAUAAAAUAGAAAAAAAAAACAAGAAAA